rnacentral:snRNA from 1 species
AGCUUUACACAGUGGCAGCAUUGUAGCCAAAGAGGUUUAUCUGAGGCACGAUUAUUGCCAAUUGCUUUCUAGUGGAGAACUGCAUGGUUAACCUUAAUGGUUACCUCUCAGAGGAAGCUGAUUUAAACCAAAGCUUACUUU